AAAAAGGUUAGCCUCAGGAAAUAGGAUUCAUACUUCAUAGUGAAAAAGCAGCAAUUGAUAGUGUAACAACCUGUGCUGUCAAGACUGGUAUACUUAUUCAAGAAUUAAACAUCAAAUGAUUUUGGCUGGGUCUUGGACCAAAUUAAGGUCCUUAUCUUUUGUGUUAUGUAGGACCUUAUUGUUUCUAUCUUUUGUGUUGUUUGUUAAAUGGGUUUUCGUUUCAGGGAGGGUUUAUUAGUAAA
rnacentral:misc_RNA from 1 species